UACGUAGGGUGCGAGCGUUAAUCGGAAUUACUGGGCGUAAAGGGGUGCGCAGGCGGUUAUAUAAGACAGAUGUGAAAAGCCCCGGGCUCAACCUGGGAAUUGCAUUUGAGACUGCGUAGCUAGGGUGCGGAAGAGGGAAGCGGAAUUUCCGGUGUAGCGGUGAAAUGCGUAGAUAUCGGAAGGAACACCAGUGGCGAAGGCGGGUCUCUGGGACGUGACUGACGCUGAGACGCGAAAGCGUGGGGAGCAACAGG
rnacentral:rRNA from 1 species